rnacentral:rRNA from 1 species
GAUGAACGCUGGCGGCGUGCCUAAUACAUGCAAGUCGAGCGAACAGACGAGGAGCUUGCUCCUCUGACGUUAGCGGCGGACGGGUGAGUAACACGUGGAUAACCUACCUAUAAGACUGGGAUAACUUCGGGAAACCGGAGCUAAUACCGGAUAAUAUAUUGAACCGCAUGGUUCAAUAGUGAAAGACGGUUUUGCUGUCACUUAUAGAUGGAUCCGCGCCGCAUUAGCUAGUUGGUAAGGUAACGGCUUACCAAGGCGACGAUGCGUAGCCGACCUGAGAGGGUGAUCGGCCACACUGGAACUGAGACACGGUCCAGACUCCUACGGGAGGCAGCAGUAGGGAAUCUUCCGCAAUGGGCGAAAGCUUGACGGAGCAACGCCGCGUGAGUGAUGAAGGUCUUCGGAUCGUAAAACUCUGUUAUUAGGGAAGAACAAAUGUGUAAGUAACUAUGCACGUCUUGACGGUACCUAAUCAGAAAGCCACGGCUAACUUCGUA